CAAUGGGGAAAAAUUAAUGCCAAUGCCAUGGUGCGAAAAUGACAGGACAUUUUGUUUUCUUAAAAACAUGACAUCUCAUUAGAAGACAGAACUGGUGCCUGGAACUCAAAUGCUACAUGAAUGAAUGUAUCCUAGCAUCUUGUACAUAUCAUGACAAAAAGGGACAGAACAAAUGCUACUAUUUCCCAUUCUGGUGCUAUGAAGCCCUGCUAUGUAUUUGCCAUCAUUCUAAUUUUGGGACUUAAUUUUACUUCAGAAACAGUAUUCUAUUCCAGAACUCCAGAGGAAUGUCUUUUUCUUGGAGGGGUCUGUAAGACUUUAUUUUGUCCCCUAGUCUACAAUAGAUCUGGAAGGUGUUCAAAACACAAACCUUGCUGCACACCAACACUGUCUGCAUAUUCAUAUCUGAAACGUCGUCACCCAAAAGUGAUACAUGGAAUACGCUGAGAGCAGUUCUAAUCAUUAGAAGAGCUCUUCUUUAGAAGAAAUGGAAAAUGGCCAAAUAUUUGUUCUGUAAUUUUCAACGUUCCUUGGAAGAUGCCAGACCUCUCAAUUAUAAGGCAUUUGGAUGAAAGGGCAGCACCUAGUACCACAUCUCUCCUUGAAGACCUGGAAGUUCUUGCUUUAUUACCAACUCUUCAUUGUGGUAUUUUCACUAGUAGAAGAAUGAGAAAUAGAUCUUGUGAUCUGCCUGAAUGAAAAUCUAAAAAAGAAAAAAAAAUUACCAGUGAACUGA